rnacentral:rRNA from 1 species
UAAUGUAUGGGGAUCUGCCUGAUGGCGGGGGAUAACUACUGGAAACGGUAGCUAAUACCGCAUAAUGUCUGCGGACCAAAGCGGGGGACCUCCGGGCCUCGCGCCAUCAGAUGAACCCAUAUGGGAUUAGCUAGUAGGUGAGGUAACGGCUUACCUAGGCGACGAUCCCUAGCUGGUCUGAGAGGAUGAUCAGCCACACUGGGACUGAGACACGGCCCAG